rnacentral:rRNA from 1 species
GACGUAGGGCGCGAGCGUUGUCCGGAUUUACUGGGCGUAAAGAGCGCGCAGGCGGUCGUGCAAGUCGCGUGUGAAAGCCCCCGGCUCAACUGGGGAGGGUCACGCGAUACUGCUCGACUCGAAGGCAGGAGAGGGAAGUGGGAAUUCCCGGUGUAGUGGUGAAAUGCGUAGAUAUUGGGAGGAACACCGGUGGCGAAGGCGGCCCCCUG